rnacentral:lncRNA from 1 species
AGCGUUUUCUGCCAAGGAUACAAAGCUCGUGAGUGAGUGAAAAGGAAGGUUCGUAAUCCUUCCUUGCAAUCAAUCGAUCAUUCAUGGCGGAGAACUGCAUAGUUUCGGUCAACCCUAAACCCUCAAAGGGAUUAUCCUCUAAGCUUCUCGAUCUUGUGGAGAGAGUUGUUGUGAAGCUCAUGCACGAUGCUUCUCUGCCUCUCCACUACCUCUCCGGCAACUUCGCUCCCGUGCGGGAUGAAACUCCUCCGGUGAAGGAUCUCCCCGUCGUCCAUGGAUUUCUUCCAGUAAGUGAGCUCUUUAAUUUACACACUCCAUAUCCUUUUCCGAGGAAGGUUCUAAUUCGUCUUUUUUAUAUUUCCCAGGAGCCAAAUAAGAAAAAGAAUACUUAAAUAGAGACAGCGGUCAUGUAAAAGAAAAGAAAGCCAUCAGCAAUUUGAUAAAGAGAAACUUCGUAGCAGUUUCCAAUAUCGUUGUCAAGAAAUGUGGAGGCUAAUCUUCUUUAUUAUUCAUGUGAAGACGACACUGAGAGAGAUAAGGCAAUUGACCUUUAUAUAGAUAAACAAAGAAACAAAUGAAGAAGUUAACCUCCACCAAAUCGUAAAUGUGUCCACCAAUACAUUAUUCUCAACUCUUUUUGCUGCUCCUAGUAGCUUAGGUGUUGAGAGCAGCAGAGACGGAAUGCUUCUGCAAUCUUGGAGAACAGAAGAACUGAAGCAAGAAUUGAUGAAUGGGGACGACAAAUUUAUUAUAUAGAAGCGCACACAUGUCACACAACACCAAGCUUAACAUAUCCAAACGAAUGAGCUUUUGAAUAUAACAAACUAAGCAUGGCACUAGUAACUUGAAACUUUUCACCCACUAAAACUUGGAGAAUUGUUUGUAACUCCAUUUAUUUUGGUUUAAAAGAAAAAGAAGAAGAUCCUUGGCUCUGUGGUUGCUAUUACGUUUGGCCGGAAUCAGUGAAACCAGCCACCUGCUGUCCUCCGGGAUUGAGCUAUCCAGACCAAUCCCUCAAUCAGAGAGCACUUGGCCUUGAACAUUCAUUCCUUGAAUUCACGCUCUUCUGUACUUGUAUCGCGUUCUAGCGAGGCCCAUCGGACCUGAGACCGAAGCGGGUCGCUAAUAAUAACAGGCCCAGUUAUGUGUUCGUCACGUGGCAAACAGACAACCGUAGAUUAUAUAUCAUUAAUUAAUUAAUUACUGGGAUAAAAUUUAUUUUUCUUUCAUAGCCCCCGAGCGGAUCGGAGCAACCUUACUUGCUUGCUAGCUUAAUCGCAAAACGGCGAAGCGAGCAAGAAUCAUUGUCUCAUACUCACAUCCCUUUAGGUAUCUGUCUUCACUCUUGUAUUUCUCUUUUUAUGCUUAUUUUGGGGGUUUAGGGUUUUUCUGAUGACAGAUCUGAUUAUUUGAACUUUUAUUUUAUUUAUGGUUUCGAUAGAGCCUUUGCGGUUAUCUUCAGGGUCGCUUUUGUAUUGUCGGACUGCUUCAAAUCUCAUGUUAACUUGAUAGUGUUCUUGAUGCCCCCACCUCCCUAAAUCAUGAUAGCAUAUCUUUAACUUCUUGCUUUGCUUGUGGUACUAGCAAUGAGUAGUAGUAAGAAGAAGAAUCCAACUGUAUUCCUGGAUGUCUCCAUUGGCGGGGAUCCCCUUGAACGUAUCGUGAUUGAGGUAUUACAUCCACACUCUCUGUGCCUUUCUUUUCCUUGUCUUAAAGUUUCUCUCUCAAUUGCAGCUUUUUGCUCAUCUUGUCCCCAAGACUGCCGAGAACUUUCGUGCCCUCUGCACAGGUACCCUUUUAACUUUCUUUGUGUGGUAUUCAUGUCAACUUGACAAGAUAAUAAUGGGCUUCUCUCUCAGGUGAGGCAGGCCUUGGCAAGACCACUAGCAAGCCUCUACAUUUCAAAGGAUCAUCUUUCCAUCGAGUCAUCAAAGGAUUCAUGGCCCAAGUAUCUAUCCCUUCUACUUAUUCAUUUUCUUCUAUGCUUCUCAUGGACAAACCAAUUCAUUACCGCUUCUCUUUCCUUCCUCUUUUUGCAGGGUGGUGAUUUUUCUAAUGGAAAUGGUAUUCUUCUAACCUCUUAUCCUCUAAUCAUAUUAUAUAUAAGAUCCUAUGUAUAUUUUUAUGUUGUCUGUACCUCACGGCCGUAGAGGCAGUCUAGUUACUAGUUAGCCACAACACACGUUUAAGGAACUGACACAAAGGAGCUAAUUUUACAUAUGAUGAAAAUGGCACUUUAGAAGGGUGUAUGGGUUUUUUUUUUGAUUCAUUACACUUAGAAUAAAUGAUUUUGAAGGACUUUGGUUGGUUUUCAGGCACCGGCGGUGAGAGCAUCUAUGGUGGGAAGUUUCCAGGUACUACUUUUUUUUAUAACCUCUAUAUUCACCUUUCUUGAGUUGGUAAAAAAUCCUCAAUAUAUUCUGUUACCUCUACAGAUGAGAACUUUGAACUGGACCAUGAAGAAGGUGGAGUCCUUUCGAUGGCAAAUUGUGGCCCAAACACCAACGGGUCACAGUUUUUUAUCCUUUUCAAACGCCAGCCUCAUCUCGAUGGGUAAUGCAUGUUCCAUAGAUAUGGUUAUUUCUUAGAAAUUAAACUCAUUGUAAAAAACAGUUUGAAAUGUUCUGUUUUUUUUCCCCCUGGAAUCAUAUUGUAGGAAGCAUGUUGUAUUUGGGAAAGUCGUUAAGGGAAUGGAAGUUGUCAAGAAAAUGGAGCUCGUAGGGACGAGUGAUGGUAAACCAACCAGCAAUGUCAAAAUAAUUGACUGUGGCGAAGUGUCUCAGUUAAAAGGCGAGGAUGCUGCUGAGAAAGAUAAAGGUAGUGAAGUUAAUUUUUGAUUGUGGAAUGGCUAUGUUUAUGAUUCUUCGGUGAUUUCCAGGGAAAUUGAAAAAAUCUAGCAAAGACUCACGGGAGAAGAGGACUAAGCGAAAAAGAAGAUACUCGUCUUCGUCAGAUUCAUACAGCUCAAGUUCUGAAUCAGAUUCUGAAUCAGAAACAGAUUCAUCCUCGUAUGAGUCUAGUUCUUCCAGUGAUGGGAAGCGUAGGAAGAGGAGGUCAACAAAGAGACACAAAGGCCGACGCGGGGAAAGAAAGAUCAAAGGACGAAAGGGGAAAAAGAAUGCUCGAGGAGAUAGACCACCUCAACGCAGGUCUGGCUAUUAGCUCAGUUAAUGGUAUUUAGUUUAGUCUUUGCCAGUUCUUCUGCGUGAUUCUUUAGUGUGUUUUUUUUUUUACAGAAACAAGGAUAGUUCAAGUGACACCGAGAGUAGCAAUUCUGAUGAUGAGAGAAUGGGCCACGAAAAGGCCAAAAAGUCAAAGAAAGCUAAAGGUAAGUGUAACUCUGUUAAGAAUCUUGGGUCUUUCAGCCUGUAUUUGGCAACUAGUUAUCGUAUGUGGAAGUGACAUUGAAUCUUGCUUUCUUCUUGGAACAGAUGGUGUGCCUGUAAGGAAUGCUGCUGAUUCUAGUCCUGCGGAGAAGAAAUUUUCGGGGGACAAACCAGAUUCUCUUCUGAAUGAAAAUGAACUUGUAGGAAAUGGAAAAGCCACCAAAGUUGAUAAUCAACGUGCGGACUCGGUGAAAUCAAGGUUAAUCCCCCUUACUUUACUUUACUUUGUGUUCUUCAGCUCUGCUUUUGCAUUUAUUUCCGUGUUCUGAUUUGUGGUCCCUGGCAAACUUUUUACCAUGUUCUAUUGCUAUAUAGGAGUAUGAGCCCAGUUUCUAGAAGAGGUCAAAACAGUAGGAGCAAAAGUCCUGCUAGUAGGAGCCCUGUGAGAGAUGUUGGAAAUAGGAGCACAAGUCCUCGCGAGAGGAAAUCUUCAAAAAGCCCAUCUCCAAAUGGUGAGCCCAAGCGCAUCCGAAAGGGGCGUGGGUUCACAGAACGUUAUUCAUUUGCUCGGAAGUACCGUACACCAUCUCCUGAGCGUUCCCCUCCUCGGCGCUGGCCUGAGAGAAGAAGCUUUCAGGACAGGAACACGGACAGGUAACUUAAAUACAUACUGAAAACAAUGAAAGUUGAGACUGUAAGUAAAUAAAUACUAAAGCCUUGUUUUUGUUUAAAUUUGUGGAGGUAUCCAAGCAACAGGAGUUACUCUGAACGCUCGCCUAGACGACGCUUUAGGAGCCCACCCAGGAGAAGGAGCCCUCCAAGGUUGGCUUUCUUUUAUCUCUUUAUGAAGAAGAUUAAACUCCUAAGACAGUCGCUUUACAUAAACUUGUCUGUCGUGCUGCAUAGGUACAACCGGAGGAGAAGAAGCAUUUCACGGAGUCCAGAUGGGCAGCGCAGAGGUUUGAGAGAGAGCCAAAGUCCAAGUCAUCGUAGCCCCAGAAAGAGGCAGCCAAUUAGCCAAGACCUUAAAUCCCGUCUGGGGCCACAAAGGUCUCCUGCAGAAUCGCUCAGCGCUUCGCCCUCAACCUCCCCAUCGGGACAGAGAGGUUUGGUUAGCUAUGCAGAUUGAUCACUCAUCCCUCCAUUUGCAUGCUGCCUGCCUGCUCUGAUGACUUGCGAGUUUUGUUGUUGUUGUCAUAUGAUACUCGUCACAUUUGGCUGUUGUUGCUUUUCAGAUUUUGUUGAAUAUUAAUCAAAUUUAAAGACUAGUUUUAUUUCAGAAUUAGAUUUUGGGGAUUUAAUAAUGUGCGAUAACACAAUUCUUUUGUUGUGGCUCAUCGACCUAUUGAGUAAUUUAAAUCUAUAAUAGAUUUGAGCUUUUAUUGGGCUCUCACACUAAUAAUCCUUAUGGACCAUUCGCCUAUUAAUCACAUAUUAUUUUGAGCUUAAAUUGGGCUUUAUUUAUAAGUGAAAACAAUUCUUUAGUUAUGGCCCAUGGUCCUAUUGUAAAGCUUAUAUUGGUCUUAAGAAUGUGUGAGUUAUAAAAAAGGCCUCCUUGACUUUUGGAGAAAAUAAAAUAAAAAGUGUACGGAAGAGGGGGUGAGAGUUUCUUUUCUGAGAGUGUCAGAUCUGAGAGCGAAGGAAGGAUGCGAGUGGGUGACAAUCGGUAAUAGAGAGCAUCAUAGAAGCCGCGUGACCUCAUAUCGAAUUGAGAUGGAGGAAGCUGCUUCUGUGGGCGAUGCACAUGCACGGGGGAAGCACAUGAUCCUUGCGGAGCUUGGUCGUGUGGAACAGGAAGUCAGAUUCUUGGAGGUGAGAGAUUCUUCUUCUUCUUUCUAUUCUAUUUUUAGCUGCCUAAUUCACACUUGCUCGAUGUUAUUAGGUUGUAGACUGUUUUCUAAGAACUGGCUCAUGUGUUCGAAAUCUAUUCUCCGUUGAUUUUUGCUUACCUCAUUCCUUCUUAUAUACUUGUGAUCAUAGUCCAGCUCCCCCUUUUCUCAUUCAUAUGAUGUGCUUUUCAAUCUUGGAUUGUAUGUGUGCACUCUUUUGUGUCUUCAUCUUUGAAUUUCCCCAGAAUUCGUUGCUAUUACUCUCCAGAAAAAGUUGGAAGAGCUCGGCCAGACAGAUAGUGUAUCAACCCAGUGUGAGGAGUAAGUGAGGGAAUCUCACCCUAUCUUUUCUUUAGUUAGUUUCCUGAAACUUGCGUGUCUACUGGUGUGAUCAACUUGUGUAUUGUCAUGACUCACAGGCUGCUUUGUGUCAUCGAGAAAUCACCUGACCCUCUCUUGCCACUGUGAGUUGCUUCCAACUCUUUUUGGUGUUUACAUUUUGGUUGCUGUCUGAUGCUGUGUGGUUUUGGCAGGACCAAGGGACCUUUGAACUUAGGAUGGGACCGGUGGUUUGAAGCACCAAAUGGGGGAGAACGCUGCAGAUGCUUUAUACUUUGAUUCAUGAUAGUAAAAUGUAGUAGUUACUAUAUAGGCUUGGCAUUUUUGGUGGUAAAAUAUCUUUAACAUGGGACCAAACUAUUAUCAAAAUGUGUGUGUUUCAACAUUGUGUGCAUCUUCCCUUACUAGUAAAAUCGUACAGGUUACGAUGAGCAUUGGAUUGUAUAUAAUGGUUUAGUUGCACGUAUGUAAACAGUAUAUGUUUAAUUUUGUCUGUAUGAGAUCCGAGCAAUGGUGUAUUAGCUUCUCAGGAGCAUUUUCUUUCUCUAACUGUAAUGUUUCAUGCAUAAAAUAUAUCUUCUCUCUUGUCAUUAGCCUUGUCAAUGUUGCUAUCACAGGUUUCUGGUGCGCUGGAUCACGUUCACAAUAUAUGACUUUUUUUUUUAUGUCAAAGAACAUAACACACAAAUGGUGCUAAUGUCUCGUUGUACAAUACCUGGGACGUUGGAAGUAUCUACAGUCUGAACAGUUGGUGGCGGAGCUGCAGGGGCAUGGGCUGCCUGCUGUGUUUGAGGACUUGCUGGUUGCACAGAACCUAUAACAGAUCUUGGAGCAACUCCUGGAGUUGACAUAGGUGUAAAUCCUAUGGGUCCAGCUCCUGGACCAACUACUUGGGGCAUCUUGGGGUUAGAAUAUUUCCUAAUUUGUGAAGGGACAGAGGAUGCAUAUGAACCAGGACCAGGAGGAACGGGGUAUGCAUUGUUAGAUUGUCCCUGAUCACAUAGCUGCUAGCUUAAUCAAACUAAAAAGUGCCAGAAAAUUCAAACACAGUUGAGUUGAUGAAUAACACACGGUGAAUGAAUGAGAAGCAAUGGUUGGCUGCUAAUAUUGGUAUGCGUUCUUCAGUGCAGGGGGAGUUGAUGGAACAAAAGUAGUUCUCAUGGAUGGCUGAGCAUUGCUUGCAGGUGCCGAAGGAUAUGAUGGCUGCAUAUACACAUGUUUGUCAAGAAAUUUUGGCCCAAAAAACCUAUACAUAACAAACAAAACAGUUCCCCACCACAAACUUUUCCUCGCGACCUCUAAGAUAUAGAUUUUACAGAACCAAACUGAAGCAAAGGUCUAACUUAUCCCAUUUUCCGGACAUGUCAUUAGAGGCUGAAAUUCGGUUGAGGAGUAUAUUUUUCGGGGUUUUUGGCAUUUGGCCACCACAUACAUAAUCCAGAUGAUGUCUUCCUAUCUCAAAAAAUUGACCAAUACCCUAUAAAAUAAACGGAAAAUCUUCUGAUCUAGACAUCUGAAAACUGCCUGAUAAUGAUGACCAUUUAUGCAUAUGAUGUUGUAACGAAGAAUGUGUAAAAGGAAAUGCAACAAAGCCAAAACUUCAGGAACCUGCGGUGCUGGCUGAGCUUGGUGAGGCAUAAACAUGGUUGCUUGUUGCAUUGGUGGAUGUGAAGCUGGGGGCACAUAUCCUCCAACAUAAGAAUCGGUGUAUGGUUGUUGAUAGUGAUUAUCAUAUGGGUUACUGUCUUACUGAUAAUGUUUGGUUGCGCAUGUGUUGGCUCAUAAGCCACAGAAGAAUACAUGCUAAGUAUGUUGUCCGUACAAGCUAUAUCCAGACUCUAGUUUAAAGACAGUUGCAGAGAAAAAAAGAAUGAGACCUGAUUAUAUGGUAUGGUGCUUUGAAGCUGAAUCUUGAUUGGCUAUUGAAAAAGUUUUUGUUUCCCUUUUAAGAAAUCAAGUUUUUAUGAAUCUUGAUUGGCUAAUAAAAUGCCUUUUUUUUAAACACUUGCGGGAUUUUAUUAUGACAUAGAAAUUGUAAAGUCGUAGUGUAAUACAUAAUUAAGAAAGCAAGGAACAUAGUUAUAAUAUAAAUAGGACACAUCUCCAUGAAUCUCCCGCUUCGCUAAUUUAUCUGCCACCUGAUUUGAGUUUCUGUUUGUCCAUAUAAAUUGCAUUAUUCCAGUUUUCUACUCUACUAUAUAAUUUCUCGUGUCCAAUUAUAUCCAUCAAAAUGAAGAACUUGACGAUUGAGGAUGUCAAUUGCUUUUCUACAGUCACUUUCAUGUAACUUCUACUCCAAGCAUGUUGAAGAGCCAUAAGAAUUGCUUGUAACUCACUUUCAAGGACAUUCUGAACUUUUUUUCCUACUGCCUGCACUGUUCCUUGAUAGCUUCCAAAAGAGUCCCUGAUAAUAAAACCCACUUUACUUGCUUGAUCCACAUUAAUAAAAAAUCUAUCAACAUUAUACUUUAUCCAUUCAUCUGGUGGUCUUCUCCAUUUGUUAAGGCGACUGUCAUUUUGAGUGCUAGGAAUCCUUCUUUGUUCUGCUUCAAGAGUUUGAUUACUAUUCCAUCAUUCUCUAACAUCCGUAUAAUCAAAGCUGAUAAAAUGCUUUAUGAAAAACAAAAUCUUUGUUAAGAAAAAAGAAAAAAAAUGAAAAUCAUUCGAAAAAGUAAAAAAAAACCAGUACCUAAAUUUGGAGGAAGAAAAUGAAUAUAGUUGCGGAUUUAUAUUUAAAUGUGUUUAAAAUGUCUUUUGAAAAUAAAGAAAGAAGAAAUUGCUAGUUUAAAAAAAGAGAAGAAAAAAAGAAAUUGCAAUCUGCAUCGAUGGUCAAGAAUAUGACAGGUGUCGAGUACUAAGUAAGCUGUAUUGUAACAGUGGUGCACUAGCAUGCAGAAUAUAAUAGCUUAGAUUGCUAUCAUUAUCCCCUUUGUGGAUUAGGUAGUGCUCUCACUUCGCCUUCUCUACACAAACAAAACUGGUUCGCUAAGAGCUCCGACAAUGGCUGUCUGCGCAACUCACUCCUCUCUCAUGAUAGCAUACGCCGCAUCCAAGGACCUUACAAUUCCGUCUCUUUUCUCAUCUGCCAACCCAAGACCCAACAAGUUGAGCGUCGCACUCUAUCCCCCUCUUGUUCUCCUUGCGGGGAGAAGAGCUUCGAACCCAUCCUUCCCGGUGGUUGUCUCAGCCGUAGCCGCAGAGGCUGAUGUCGACACGGAGGACGCGGAGCAGAACGAAGCCACCUCCACCACCGCCACAGCCGUCCUCGAUCCGCCAAAGCCUAAGAAAGGAAAAGCAGCUUUGCUUCUCAAGAGAGAUAGAGUAUGCUUUGCUUAUCCAUCCUUUCCUUUACAAUCCCAAGCUCUAAACAUGAUUUUUUUUUCUUUCUAUGACGAUGAUGAUUCUUUUAUGUUUGUUUGUUUGUUACUCUCAUUUGGCAGACAAGGUCUAAGAGGUUUCUGGAAAUCCAAAAGCUAAGGGAAACCAAAAAGGAGUACGACGUCAAGACUGCUAUAUCUUUGCUUAAGCAAACCGCUAACACAAGGUUUGUGGAGUCGGUCGAAGCCCAUUUCCGUCUCAACAUCGAUCCUAAGUACAAUGAUCAGCAGCUGCGAGCAACCGUAUGGUUUUUUUUAUUUUGCUUUACAUAUAUGUAUAGCUUUGUGUUUCGUUGAAAUUUAAAUCUGAACGCAUUGUCUUUGGUAGGUGAGCCUUCCUAAAGGAACAGGGCAAACUGUUAAAGUGGCUGUUCUUGCACAAGGUAACUAAUUGCCCCCCCUCCCCUCCCCUCCCCUCCCCUCCCAAAUGCUAAGUUAGUCGGACAGUUCAUUCCAAGGGACUCUGUAGAAAAUACUUUGUGUGGUUGACCUUCUAUUAUUUUGUUUGGAUGGAUUGGUGUAUUUCUAUAGAGAAAAAUGUGCUGGGAUCAUUCUUUUCCUUUCUUUCUGUUUCUCUAAGUUAUUUCCAUGAUGAAUAAUAUCCAGGUGAGAAGGUCGAUGAAGCAAAAAAUGCAGGGGCAGAUAUUGUGGGCAGUGAUGAUUUGAUCGAACAGAUAAAAGGAGGGUUCAUGGAGUUCGAUAAGUUAAUUGCAUCCCCGGAUAUGAUGGUCAAGGUGUGUUUUUACUCAUUUGUUAAUAACAAAAAUAAACUUGAAUAGCUGUUACGACAUUCAUUCUUGGCAAAGAAUGUGACAUGAGACAAAUGUUGCUCGUCAUCUCUUAUUACUAAACCUUCUUUAACUUGGGCGGUUAGGUUGCUGGCCUGGGAAAGAUUCUUGGUCCACGAGGACUCAUGCCAAAUCCCAAGGCUGGUACCGUCACAGCUAACAUUCCACAGGUUAGCCUACUACUUACUCAGGCAGGCAAAAUCAUCUUCGGGUAAUCAAUCAUAGUAUAAUGAUGAUAUGCAUAAAUCUAUCUCAGGCUAUAGAAGAGUUCAAGAAGGGAAAAGUAGAAUUCAGAGCAGACAAAACUGGGAUUGUUCACAUUCCGUUUGGGAAAGUGAAUUUCACAGAGGAAGACCUGCUCGUAAACUUCCUUGCAGCAGUGGUAGGCUGAUUCUCCCCCAUUUAAUAACGUUGUUUAUCUCUUGUGCUGCUGAAUAAAAAGAGUGGAACGUAAAUGCAGAAAUCGGUGGAGACAAACAAGCCAAAGGGAGCAAAAGGAGUGUACUGGAAAAGCGCACACAUAUGUUCGUCAAUGGGGCCAUCCAUCAAGUUGAACAUAAGGGAGAUGAUAGACUUCAAGCCAUAAAUAACCACAUUUGUGUUUUUUUUUUUGUGAGUGUAGGCGAACACCAUUAGUUAUCUCUUGUAUACCUCACCGGUUGUAUCACCUUAACUCUGAUAAGACCAUUUGCUUUAUUGAUUAUUACUGUUAAAAUUGCGAGGCCUCUAUUGCCUUAAUGCCUGCCUUCACCACUGGAGAUGAGAGAACACACGAGUCUUUUUUUUUUUAAAUAAAAAAAAAAACAAAUAUCCUUGAAAUUGGAAGAUAAAAUGAGAUAAUUUCAUGAGGCCGUUACGUUGCGACGUGGCAGCGUUUUCUGCCAAGGAUACAAAGCUCGUGAGUGAGUGAAAAGGAAGGUUCGUAAUCCUUCCUUGCAAUCAAUCGAUCAUUCAUGGCGGAGAACUGCAUAGUUUCGGUCAACCCUAAACCCUCAAAGGGAUUAUCCUCUAAGCUUCUCGAUCUUGUGGAGAGAGUUGUUGUGAAGCUCAUGCACGAUGCUUCUCUGCCUCUCCACUACCUCUCCGGCAACUUCGCUCCCGUGCGGGAUGAAACUCCUCCGGUGAAGGAUCUCCCCG